CUAAGACCAUGUAAGAAACAUAAUAAAGAAAGAAGAUAUAAAACACGUUAAUAAUAGGGAGAUAAAAUAUGACCAAGAAAUUUAUAUAAAGCAAUAUAUACCAUGAAUAAGAGGCGAACAUGUCACAAGAGGAAGAAGAAGAGAUCCUUUCACAGCUGACAGGAACAGGAAGAAAUACCGACAGAGGAGACUAGACAGCAGGAUGGAGGCGAUGUGUCCAAGUAGCAGCAUGUAUCGCCACAGCAACAGAGAUGGGACAUUGCACUCGACCACUUGUAGAACCCGCAGCCUGUGUAAUCUGACACAUCCCACCUGAUAACACUGAUACAGAUGACAAAAAGCAAGUGUCUCACCCUGAAGAGCACCAUAACACCAGACAUCUACCUUCUCAUCACCAAGGCUCUCCUCUGACACCACAUCACCACACGCCAGUCCUACCAUCACCUCUCGGACACCAGUGGCAGGCUUGUGAAGGUGUGGUGCAAAUUCACCCAUCUCCUUGUAUUAUUAAGGCCAGCACACUGCCAAGUCAGAAUGUCCCAGCCUAGCUCACCACUGUAGAGGACAAUGAAAGUUGCUCCCAUUGGUGAAGAAACUAUGGUCUGGAUGCAACAGCUUCUCAAGUUAAUGCCCCAGCAUGCGGCCUGGCCAGGACACUCCCCUGAGUUCACCAGUACUGCAACAUAAAUGGCUUGACGAAAAAAAAAUGCCUGAAAAACUAGGCUAGGACAUUCUUUCCAGCUCACCAGUACUGAAGAGGGCAACGAAAAUGGCUGGCAAAGAGGAGGCCUGAAAGAAAAACUGACUGGGAAACAGGAGGCUGUGUAGACUGGGUGAAAAAACUGCAAGUGCAUAAUCUAUGUACUCAAGGCAAGCUCCUCACCCCACUAGUCUCAAAUGAAUGAAAAGUUUUUCUUGACAUUAAAUUACUGAAGAAGGAAACCAAUUGUGAGCCGUCCAUUUGUUAAAAGCUGUAUGUAGUGUGUAGAAGUCCGACAUCUGGAAGACGUCAGGUGGAAGUGUUGGCAUGUCAUCUUUAAGAUGGAGGAGACGAGAGAGAGAGAGUUUUCUCUUCCUGUUUCUACAUAUAUUGAUGUAUUUCCAAAAUUCAGAACUAGUUCCACAUCACAGGUGAGGCAAAAAUCAAGGCGUUUGUUUUUCAAUAUAGAAGUCUCCCCAUCCUAAACAAGGGAGUACAACCUUGCCGAUGCCUCGCUUCUACACACAAUUUUCAAUUUAAGUACGACUUGCAAUUGAUUCCUUAUUCAGUAAUUUAAUAAAUCUUUCGAGGGUUGCUUCUCUUCUAAGUAAUUUAAUAAAUUUAUUAAGUUAAGAAGAGAAGCAACCCUCGAAAGAUUUAAGUUCCUUAAUCUAAGCUUCUCAUACCUUGUUGCUUAGUAUAGAAGCAGCGGCCUGGAAUGCACAGAUUAAUUAAUGCAUUUGCAGUUUCUUCCCAGUUUGCAUAGCAGCCAGUUUCCUGCAGCCAGGUAGCAUAGACCCCUGAAAAAAGGUAAAAAAAAAAAAAUACUAUUGGAGAAAGUCUCCAAUAGUAUCUGAUGAAAUCUCUCAAAGAGCAUUUUAUUACUACUACAUCUCCAGAGAGUCUUCAGAGUAUUUAUGACAUUGAGAUCUCUCAAUAAGCCUGUUUUGUAGGCAAGCUCCUGUGCUGGGCAUAUGGCAUAUCCAGUUGGUGACAGCACUGGCUCUGGAGGGUUCCUGCUCCUGCUGUAGCCAUGCCUGCUGCUGGUGGUGACACUCCCCUAGCAGCCUCUUGUGACCUGGAUCAUGAAGAUUCAUGCUGGAAUUGCAGGUCCUCUUCCAUUUUGGUUGUUGCAAGCUGGAAAAACAAAAUGAGCUAAAAAAAAUGAUACAUGUACCAAUAAUAUGUAUACAUACCUGCUAUAUUACUACAAUAACAACUAUAUUAUUAUCAAGUAUAUUUUAAGCUUAAGCAGCGUGUUGAAGUUUUAUAAUAAAGUAGAAUAAAACAAAAAGUAAAAUCAAA